rnacentral:lncRNA from 1 species
CAGUGACUGUGGCUGACUAUAUCUCACGAGCAGAGUCUCAGAGCCGCCAGAGGCCACCCCUGGAACGCACUAAACCCUCAGAAGACUCUCUUUCAGGACAGAAGAGGCAGCUGUGUCUGAUGGAGUUUAGACCAGUGUAAACUUUGAAUAGGAUAGAGAAGAAAGUGUGGUUCACAUUUUCUGGAUCCCAAGGUGACUCUGUCAGCAAGCUUCCUAAGGGCCCCUCGGAGAAUGGGGAGCUCUCCGCCCCCUUGGAGUUGGGUAGUAUGGUGAAUGGGGUUUCAUAAAACCUCCAACCUGCACCCCUCCCUUCUCCAUCUCGCUUGCUGCCCAACACCAUGGCCCUCACAGGCCCAACUGACCUGCGCUGGAGCUGCUCUUAUCUAGGGGGGAGGGGGGUGGCACAGCAGCUUGGGUACCCCCCAACCUCCAGGAGCUAGUGGAGGGGUGUGUAACAGGGUCAUACCCCCUCCCUCUUGUCCACCCUACCCCCAGGGUAAGGGGAGCCUCUCUCCUUCCCCAUCAGACUGGAUGUGCCUUUAUCCUCUAAUGCCCCAAUCUCUCUCUGAACACCCCCAUUCUCCACCUGUUGGUGGGGGGUGCUCCUCGACCCACCCAGAUUUGACCGUUCAGGGGGCCUCCCCUGCUAUCCCUCCUCCCAUCCUGUACCCCCCA